UGAUUGAUUGAUUGAUAGAUGUCUCAUUACAUUGCCCUAAGGUCUACAUUUAUACCCUGCCCAAAGAGAUACAACCAGACAUGACUAGGACUCAAAUUAUAAAUUAAACGGAAACCGUAUACAAAACAAAUUCUAAUAACUAAGGAAAACAUUAAACUACCCCCGUAACUGAUCGGGACACCACCACGAAUCAAUCGGCAACUUCCACGCUUUCCUCCAGAGUCAUCGGCAGACUACCUGUUACGGCCAUCGGCAAAUACUGGCACUGGUCAUCGGCACGAAUAUACCAUCACUUCUGGACUUGGCCAUAUUUGGUUGUCUCCCCAUCGGCAACCACCUUCAUCGGCAACUUCCCUGCAGACUGGUCACCACUACUCCAUCUGCCGAUCCACAUCCCAUUAACUCCAUAUACGUAUCAAAAGAUACGUGUCCAAAAACAGUGUCAACACAUGCCCCCC
rnacentral:lncRNA from 1 species